ACUCGGGCUAAUACCGGAUAUCCCCACCAGGUCGCAUGGCCAGGUGAGGAAAUGCUCCGGCGCUUCGGGAGGGUCUCGCGACCUAUCAGCUAGUUGGUGAGGUAACGGCUCACCAAGGCAUCGACGGGUAGCUGGUCUGAGAGGACGAUCAGCCACACUGGGACUGAGACACGGCCCAGACUCCUACGGGAGGCAGCAGUGGGGAAUCUUGCGCAAUGGGCGAAAGCCUGACGCAGCCACGCCGCGUGAGGGAUGAAGGCUUUCGGGUUGUAAACCUCUUUCAGCAGGGACGAAAAUGACGGUACCUGCAGAAGAAGCUCCGGCCAACUACGUGCCAGCAGCCGCGGUAACACGUAGGGAGCAAGCGUUGUCCGGAUUUAUUGGGCGUAAAGAGCUCGUAGGCGGUUUAGUAAGUCGGGUGUGAAAACUUGAGGCUCAACCUCAAGAGGCCACUCGAUACUGCUGUGACUGGAGUCCGGUAGAGGAGUGUGGAAUUCCUGGUGUAGCGGUGAAAUGCGCAGAUAUCAGGAGGAACACCGACAGCGAAGGCAGCACUCUGGGCCGGUACUGACGCUGAGGAGCGAAAGCAUGGGGAGCGAACAGGAUUAGAUACCCUGGUAGUCCAUGCCGUAAACGUUGGGCACUAGGUGUGGGGUCUAGCUAACAGAUUCCGUGCCGCAGCUAACGCAUUAAGUGCCCCGCCUGGGGAGUACGGCCGCAAGGCUAAAACUCAAAGGAAUUGACGGGGGG
rnacentral:rRNA from 1 species